AUGAAACUGAUUGGUUGGAACUGCCGGGGGCUCGGGAGUGGACCGACAGUUCAUAGCCUCCUCGAAUUGGGGAGGGUGUAGGAUCCCGACAGUGUGUUUCUGGCGGAGACUAAGAUGACAACGAAACAACUGGAGAGAUUCAGGUGGGUGCUUGGCCUUGUUCAUAUGACAGCAAGGAGCUCGGAGGGAAGGAGCAGGGGUGUGGCUUUGUUUUGGCAAAGGGGAAUUGAUGUAGCGCUGAGAUCGUAUGGUAGGAGACACAUAGAUGUGGAUGUGAGGAAAGAGGAUGGAAGGUUGUGGAGGAUGACGGGUGUGUACAGUGAAUCAGUCACGGAGCGGAAAGUAGAAACGUGGCGUACGCUAAGAAUCCUGGGGAAACAGCACCAGGAUGGGCGGCCAUGGAUAUGUCUAGGAGACUUCAACAAAAUUCUUUCGAAUGAUGAGAAGGUUGCUGAGGGAGUGCUGGAUUAG
rnacentral:rRNA from 1 species